UACGGAGGGGGCUAGCGUUGUUCGGAAUUACUGGGCGUAAAGCGCACGUAGGCGGCUUGGUAAGUUAGAGGUGAAAGCCCGGAGCUUAACUCCGGAAUUGCCUUUGAGACUGCAUCGCUUGAAUCCAGGAGAGGUGAGUGGAAUUCCGAGUGUAGAGGUGAAAUUCGUAGAUAUUCGGAAGAACACCAGUGGCGAAGGCGGCUCACUGGACUGGUAUUGACGCUGAGGUGCGAAAGCGUGGGGAGCAAACAGG
rnacentral:rRNA from 1 species